ACGUAGGGGGCGAGCGUUGUCCGGAUUUAUUGGGCGUAAAGAGCUCGUAGGCGGUUUCGUAAGUCGGGUGUGAAAACUCCAGGCUCAACCUGGAGACGCCACCCGAGACUGCGAUGACUAGAGUCCGGUAGGGGAGUGUGGAAUUCCUGGUGUAGCGGUGAAAUGCGCAGAUAUCAGGAGGAACACCAACGGCGAAGGCAGCACUCUGGGCCGGUACUGACGCUGAGGAGCGAAAGCGUGGGGAGCGAACAGG
rnacentral:rRNA from 1 species